AUUGAACGCUGGCGGCAUGCCUUACACAUGCAAGUCGAACGGUAACGGGCCUUCGGGUGCCGACGAGUGGCGAACGGGUGAGUAAUGUAUCGGAACGUACCUUUCAGUGGGGAUAACGUAGCGAAAGUUACGCUAAUACCGCAUAUUCUGUGAGCAGGAAAGCAGGGGAUCGCAAGACCUUGCGCUGAUUGAGCGGCCGAUAUCAGAUUAGCUAGUUGGUGAGGUAAAGGCUCACCAAGGCGACGAUCUGUAGCGGGUCUGAGAGGAUGAUCCGCCACACUGGAACUGAGACACGGUCCAGACUCCUACGGGAGGCAGCAGUGGGGAAUUUUGGACAAUGGGGGCGAACCCUCGAUCCAGCCAUGCCGCGUGAGUGAAG
rnacentral:rRNA from 1 species